rnacentral:rRNA from 1 species
ACUCCUGCGGGAGGCAGCAGUGGGGAAUUUUGGACAAUGGGCGAAAGCCUGAUCCAGCAAUGCCGCGUGAGUGAAGAAGGCCUUCGGGUUGUAAAGCUCUUUUGUCAGGGAAGAAACGGUGAAAGCUAAUAUCUUUUGCUAAUGACGGUACCUGAAGAAUAAGCACCGGCUAACUACGUGCCAGCAGCCGCGGUAAUACGUAGGGUGCAAGCGUUAAUCGGAAUUACUGGGCGUAAAGCGUGCGCAGGCGGUUUUGUAAGUCUGAUGUGAAAUCCCCGGGCUCAACCUGGGAAUUGCAUUGGAGACUGCAAGGCUAGAAUCUGGCAGAGGGGGGUAGAAUUCCACGUGUAGCAGUGAAAUGCGUAGAUAUGUGGAGGAACACCGAUGGCGAAGGCAGCCCCCUGGGUCAAGAUUGACGCUCAUGCACGAAAGCGUGGGGAGCAAACAGGAUUAGAAACCCGGGUAGUCCCAUG